CGCACAACUAAUUCCUCUCGUUGGAAUUUCGUUCAGGUUCUGAUUAAUAUCUCAUGUUCCUGGGUAAUUUUUUCCUCUUCACUUCCAUAUUCUAUAACGUAUCAUAAACACUAGAUGCCUUUCUAUUCUCUCUUCAGUAACAGAAAGUAUUCCCUAUCAAGGUUUUCGCAAUCUGUAUUGCACUUUUCCUGCUACUCUGAAAAAAAAUGCUCAUCCUUGCACUAAUUUGAUCCUUUCUGUAAAAUGGAAAAUCCCAAUCGAAAUCAUCAUCAGUUCCAAUCGAACAUUUUUGGCUUAAAGAACAGACGAAAUGGCAUCUCAAAUCAAUAUCAAACCGCAGCAGGUACCAUCUUCAGUUACCCAUGACAGGUUGAAGAAUUUACAAUCACGAAAGAAAAUCAACCAUCGUUACUAUUCGUGUCACUAGGAAAUUGGAAAAAUUGGAUAUUAUGUCCACCAAUGACGUUACCAGUGUCGAUAUGGUUUUUGUUGACCAGCAGGGUGACGAGUUACACGCCAUCAUACCCAAAAAUGUUAUCUGGAAAUUUGAUAAGCAGAUUCGAGAGGGUGGUUUGUACAGUAUUGAGAAAUUCCACUUGACUACUGCAAAACCCAAAUUCAGGCUAGAAAAGAGUGAAAAAAGAUGUUAUUUUCGGUGGAACACCUCACUCCCCGCACUGGAUGCUUACUCCGUGUUUAUUAUUCUCCAUAAUUCCUGCUUCACUGAGUUUGAGGCACUCGAAUCUAAUAUUUCAGAACAUACAUCUUAUAGGUUAUUUUUCCAAGCCAUGUGUUUGGCGUCCUAAAUGAGGUUUUAGAUUGGCAAAUUUGUUUUGUGAUGCGUGUCGUUGAUGCGUACACUGUGGACGGUCAAACCAGGUUUCCAGUGUCGGACGUCAACAGGAAAAAAGGGCCAGACAAUAGUAAGUUAUGCUGAAAAGAUGCUUGGAGAUGUUAACACUAAAAGUGAAAUUAAGCAUCCCAAUGAGAUUUACUGGAGCGAAACUCGGAAAACCAUCGCAGAAUUGUUUGAAAUAAAAUGGGAUCACAGUUGUAAUGUAUGUAUAAUCUACUCUCAACAUCAAUAUAGUCAAGAAACUUUGUAGUACAACUAACCGGCAUCAAACAAUGGAUUGGUGAUGUCAGUUUAUGCACAAAACAAUAUGCAAAGCAACAACCACUCAAUUGAUGAAAGUAAAGGGUUGGUACUAUUUAAGUUGCACCAAUCGCAAUCACGGGGUUAUGUAUUGUGACGGUGAACUUUGGUGCUCUAAGUGUCAGAUCCAGAUUGAUGUACCAAUACCAAGGUUUUCAAUUCGGUUUGGAAGAUCCUACAGAGACUACUAUCUUUGAGGCACCAUAUAUUGAACUCCAAAAGAUCCCGUGAUGCACAACAACGGACCUGCUCUGUUUAGAAGAGGUAUGUAUCAUUGCUUUAUUAUCAAGUUCUGCACUUCAACAAAUUUCGGUGAAGCUAAAUGCUAGAGUGAUCAUAAAGCUGCCAAAUUUCGGUACUGGACAGUAAGCAUUACAAAUGUUGGAUGACAUUCAUUUCAAUGACAGAGCUAGAGUGACCAAAUAUAAUAGAACAGGUGUGGCUUCUAACCUUCAAGCGAAUAACUUACCUAAAAGGUAAAUCAAAGGAGUGGUGUACACAUUAUCAAGUUAGUGUUAAAUGCAGAAAAGUAUAACAGACUAUUGUGGUGGUAGAUCAUGUGUUACCUGGGUAAUGCAUAGGGAAUUUAGCUCAACAAUGGGUGCAUCUUAGGUAACAAUGUUUUUUUGCUCCAUAUUUUAUUUGAUGUUUCCUAACAUUAAAUGGCAGCCUUAUCUAUGUAAAGAAAGAGCUAACAGGGGGUUAGUCAAUUGAAAUUUGUAGAGAUAUCAAGAGAUUUUUUGGGCAAGAGAUAUUAAGAAACUCUAUGUGACUUCAUAGAUAUUGGGAGACUCUUUGAGUGAUUUUGAAGGAAUCUCGGUGACUCGUAAAGACAAAUAUAUAGGACUUUCACGUUACAUACAUCAAUUUUUUAAUCCUUUUUUACUGAAAAAACUGGGAAAAAAUAUAUAAAUCAUUUAAGAAGAUAUAUAAUCAAAUAAUUAAGUGAUAAAAUAUAAUUAUAUGCAUUUUUGUAAUAUCUUUU